AUAGAUCGGUGUUUUUCCCCAACCUCCCCUUUUGGAUUUCCACGGGGAAGCCUUGGUAAGAGUGGAAUUCAUCUCCUUCCCCUGUAAUUAAGUUUUUUUGGAGGUUUUGGCUGUGUGGGAUUAAAGGAUUAGAGGUUGGAUUGGAGUUUAACUUCAUUUUCUAAUUGCGGUUUCCUGGUAGAUUCAAUAGUCUGUCUAGGGUACGAGUUUUGGAUAUGUUAGGUGCGGAAUUGAUUCUUGAGAUACAUUAGGAAGUUAUGGAGGAUUUUGUAUGUUUUCCAAAUUGUAUUUGAUUGCAAUUUUUGGUGGAGUAGAACUCCAGUUAUGGCCGGUUCAAUGUGACUAUUCGUGUUUGCCUGGCAAAUCGAGUUAGGUCUGUUCAUUGGUAUUUUUCACGUUGUAAAUUGCUGAAUUAGCUCUUCAAACUAUGAAGACUUUUGUAGAAGGAUAAAAGUUCUUCUUGUCAGCAAAAUUUUAUAAUUUUGGUUGUAUAGUUUAGGAGAUAUGAAUUUUUAUAUGUUGCUAUCUGGGCUGUUAUGCAGAUUCAGAAGUGCUGUUUUAAGUUGUGUUUUAUAAAUAUUUACUUGAUACCUAAUCUAUUGU
rnacentral:lncRNA from 1 species